UGCGCGGGUAGGGCCGGGAGGGUCGCCGCCUCCCCUCGCCGAAGGCGUAAAGCGGGGCCAGUAACCCUCACCCCUGAGGCAGCCCCUGCAUACCGCCCCACCGCCUGCGAUGAAUUCCGCCCCGUGGGGCCGGCGGUGGCGGAGGGCCUCCCGGAGGGGAGGUCCCUACCGCCUUUGCAGGGGAAACCUGGCCAGGCCCGGAAGGGAGCAACCUAACCCCUGACGCUGGCGUUCACGGGUCACCGGAAGGAGGACGGCGUGGGUCAACGGUAUGUAGGGGUUGCCUCAGGGGUGAGGGGGCCGCGCA
rnacentral:SRP_RNA from 1 species